rnacentral:tRNA from 1 species
UGGAGAGGUGGCCGAGUGGUUUAUGGCGGUAGAUUGUAAAUCUAUUCACUUUUUGUGAUCGUAGGUUCGAAUCCUGCUCUCUCCAAC